GGACUACCAGGGUAUCUAAUCCCGUUUGCUCCCCUGGCCUUCGUGCCUCAGUGUCAGGAACUGUCCAGAGAUCCGCCUUCGCCACUGGUCUUCCUCAUGAUAUCUACGCAUUUCACUGCUACACCAUGAAUUCCGAUCUCCUCUCCAGUCCUCGAGCAACGCAGUAUCGAAUGCAGUUUCGGGGUUAAGCCCCGAGAUUUCACACCCGACUUACGUCGCCACCUACGCACCCUUUACGCCCAAUGAAUCCGAACAACGCUUGAGACCUCUGUAUUACCGCGGCUGCUGGCAC
rnacentral:rRNA from 1 species